rnacentral:rRNA from 1 species
UACGUAGGGUCCGAGCGUUGUCCGGAGUUACUGGGCGUAAAGCGCGCGCAGGCGGCUCGUCAAGUCUGGCGUGAAAUCUCCGGGCUCAACUCGGAGGGGUCGGGCGAGACUGCGGGGCUCGAGGUGGGCAGAGGGCAGUGGAAUUCCGGGUGUAGUGGUGGAAUGCGUAGAGAUCCGGAGGAACACCAGUGGCGAAGGCGGCUGCCUGGGCCUGGCCUGACGCUGAGGCGCGAAAGCGUGGGGAGCGAUCCGG